rnacentral:miRNA from 1 species
UGCACCCCGAGUACCGCUGUUC